rnacentral:rRNA from 1 species
AGAGUUUGAUCCUGGCUCAGAACGAACGCUGGCGGCAGGCCUAACACAUGCAAGUCGAGCGCCCAGCAAUGGGAGCGGCGGACGGGUGAGUAACACGUGGGAAUUUUCCUCAAGGUACGGAACAACUCAGGGAAACUUGGGCUAAUACCGUAUGAUGCAGAGAUGCCAAAGAUUUAUCGCCUUGGGAUAAGCCCGCGUCAGAUUAGGUAGUUGGUGGGGUAAUGGCCUACCAAGCCUGUGAUCUGUAGCUGGUCUGAGAGGACGAUCAGCCACAUUGGGACUGAGACACGGCCCAAACUCCUACGGGAGGCAGCAGUGGGGAAUCUUGCGCAAUGGGCGAAAGCCUGACGCAGCCAUGCCGCGUGAAUGAUGAAGGUCUUAGGAUUGUAAAGUUCUUUCGCUCGUGACGAUGAUGACGGUAACGAGAGAAGAAGCCCCGGCUAACUUCGUGCCAGCAGCCGCGGUAAUACGAAGGGGGCUAGCGUUGUUCGGAAUUACUGGGCGUAAAGCGCGCGUAGGCGGCUUUGCAAGCCAGAGGUGAAAUGCCUGAGCUCAACUUAGGAAUUGCCUUUGGGACUGCGAGGCUUCGAGGACGGAAGAGGUGAGUGGAAUUCCCAGUGUAGAGGUGAAAUUCGUAGAUAUUGGGAAGAACACCGGUGGCGAAGGCGGCUCACUGGUCCGUUUCUGACGCUAAAGCGCGAAAGCGUGGGGAUCAAACAGGAUUAGAUACCCUGGUAGUCCACGCUGUAAACGAUGAGUGCUAGGCGUCGGCACGCUUGCGUGUCGGUGCCGCAGCUAAC